UACAGAGGGGGCAAGCGUUGUUCGGAAUUACUGGGCGUAAAGGGCGCGUAGGCGGCCUUCUAAGUCAGACGUGAAAUCCCCAGGCUUAACUUGGGAACUGCGUCUGAUACUGGGAGGCUUGAGUGCGGGAGAGGGAUGUGGAAUUCCAGGUGUAGCGGUGGAAUGCGCAGAUAUCAGGAGGAACACCGGUGGCGAAGGCGGGAUCCUGGGCCAGUACUGACGCUGAGGAGCGAAAGCGUGGGGAGCAAACAGG
rnacentral:rRNA from 1 species